CCUUCGAUAGCUCAGUUGGUAGAGCGGUGGACUGUAGUCUCGAAGUAGGCGCUGAGCCUCAGCAGUAAUCCAUAGGUCACUGGUUCAAAUCCGGUUCGAAGGA
rnacentral:tRNA from 2 species